rnacentral:rRNA from 1 species
CCUACGGGAGGCAGCAGUGAGGAAUUUUCCGCAAUGGGCGAAAGCCUGACGGAGCAAUGCCGCGUGGAGGAGGAAGGCCUGUGGGUCGUAAACUCCUUUUCUCAGAGAAGAAGUUCUGACGGUAUCUGAGGAAUAAGCAUCGGCUAACUCUGUGCCAGCAGCCGCGGUAAUACAGGGGAUGCAAGCGUUAUCCGGAAUUAUUGGGCGUAAAGCGUCCUGAGGUGGCUUACCCAGUCGACUGUGAAAGCUCAAGGCUUAACCUUGAAACGGCAGUCGAAACUUGUAAGCUUGAGUACGGUAGGGGCAGAGGGAAUUCCCGGAGGAGAGGUGAAAUUCGUAGAUAUCGGGAGGAAGGCCAAAGGCGAAAGCACUCUGCUGGGCCGAUUACUGACACUGACAGACGAAAGCUAGGGGAGCGAAAGGGAUUAGAUACCCCUGUAGUCCUAGCCGUAAACGAUGGAUACUAAGUGUUGCGCGACUCAAAACGUGCAGUGCUGCAGCUAACGCGGUAAGUAUCCCGCCUGGGGAGUAUGCCCGCAAGGGUGAAACUCAAAGGAAUUGACGG